rnacentral:rRNA from 1 species
GAUCAUGGCUCAGGAUGAACGCUAGCUACAGGCUUACCACAUGCAAGUCGAGGGGCAGCAUAUCGAAGCUUGCUUGAUAGAUGGCGACCGGCGCACGGGUGAGUAACGCGUAUCCAACCUUCCCCUUAGUAGGGCAUAGCCCGUAGAAAUGCGGAUUAAUACCCUAUGUUGUAUUAUGAGGACAUCUGAAAGAUACCAAAGGUUUACCGCUAAGGGAUGGGGAUGCGUCUGAUUAGGUUGUUGGCGGGGUAACGGCCCACCAAGCCUGCCGAUCAGUAGGGGUUCUGAGAGGAAGGUCCCCCACAUUGGAACUGAGACACGGUCCAAACUCCUACGGGAGGCAGCAGUGAGGAAUAUUGGUCAAUGGGCGAGAGCCUGAACCAGCCAAAGUAGCGUGCAGGAUGACGGCCCUAUGGGUUGUAAACUGCUUUUAUACAGGGAUAAAGUCGGGGACGUGUCCCCGUUUGUAGGUACUGUAUGAAUAAGGACCGGCUAAUUCCGUGCCAGCCGCCGC